UAAACUUAUUUUUGUUUUCCAUAAAGCAGCAAAUCUGAAGUCUUUAGAUAUUUUUUAUCUUUUUUUCACUCAAUCAUGUGAUAAAGUAUACAGGAAAUACAAAGAGAUUAUAGUCUGGAUACUAGUUCACUGUCACUCAUGACUCAUAGAUGUCAAAUUAAUUGAAACAUUUAACACCUUUCUCCCCCUAAAAAAUUACAUUGCUUAAUGGUGAAAUACACACUGAAGGUAUGUUUUCCAAGAUGUGCCAUAGAACAUCUAUGUCUAUAUCGAUACAUACAUAUGUAUAUGUAUAUAUACAUCAAUGUCCAUGUCUACGUCUCUACGUAUCAAUGGGCUGAAUGUAAACAAAGAAAGAAUGCUUUUGAAAUCUGUAGGUAACACCAAACUGAAUGGAUGACAGAAUUAGAUUUCAAAGUGGUCCUAACAUAUGAAAUCAUUAACUUUUUUCAUUUAUUCGUCAAACACAUAUUGGAACUCUCAAUUUGACAGCCUGUUAUAUACCACUAUAAGCAUGUGGAUACAAAGGCAAAAAAGCCAUUCCUCAGUAUGCACAGAGUCUGGAGAGACAGAUGAGCAUUAAAUCAGAAACAACACAAAUGGUGAAGUGAUAUAGCAGGGGAGAGAAAAGGUGCCCUGGGAGCCGAGGAGAGGAAGUGUCUGUCUCUGCCUGGGGUAGAGGGAAAGACGAUUGGGACUGUAUCACUAAAGAAGUUAGUCUCACACCAAAUAGUGUUAACAAAUAACCAGAAAAAGAGAGCUGAGAUGAGGGAAGCUUACACAGAAAAGUCCUAGUGGUCAAAGUUGAACAUAGCCUCAAAAAACGCCAAUAAUGUAUUUUGCCUGAGAUUUUUAAAAAAUUCUAACAAUUUCAAAAUUUUUAAUAGAAAUACUGCCCCUAAAGGAUGGAAGAAAGGGAAGCCCUUGCUGCACUUUUUGACCCUUUUUGACACCAGUUCUCCAUAGAAAGUAGCUAGAUGCAGCAACGUGAUUAUAAUGUGUUUUACAGAUUCCAACAAAGGGAAAAUCUCUCACAGCUGAAAUGUACCUUUGCCACCUUUUUUAUUUCUACAAAAGGGGAGUGUAAUGUUUUGUAAUAAAAACUCAUCCACAAAAAUGUUUUCUAUUAAACAGAUAUUUUUUAAAUGUCUAAACAAAACAAAACAAAUAUAAAAUACUUUCUUUUGCUUUCAAAUCUUUUUUUUUCUUUUUCCUAGAAUCUUCCCGUGUAAUGAACACAGCCCUCAUUAGAGAAAGCAUUCCUUCCAAAACUAAAUUAACUUUUUCUUGAAAAGUUUGCAGUAUGUAAGUCUCAGAAUUGAAGAAAAACAUAUUUUACAUAACUAAAUUUGGUUUUCACUAAGUUAAAAAAAAUUGAGUUUUAAACAACCAGGGAAGAAGAUUAAAAUUAUACACAGAUAAAUCAUAGUGUCUGAAUGAUUACUUUUAGAAAUCCAAAUAUAGACACACACACACCCCUCUAGAAAUAUAGAUUUAGUACUCAAUAACGUGGUCACAUCAGCUAACAACAGGCUGCUUUUCAGGAAGAUCUCUCAAAGAUAUGGCUAUUCAGAUAAAAAGAGUCUCCAAACUAAAUUUUUAAAAACUGUCUCAUUUUCCUUUUAAAGUGUUCUGGUUUUCUUUGAAAGCAGAGCAUCCCAAGUUGCCUAGGUAACAUGAUGGUUGACUGUGGUAGCAACAAGCACAUUCGGAAUGGAUCUAUACUACAGGCGACAUGGUUAGGAUGUUCUGAGUGUUGUGCCAACUCAGCAUAUAGCAAUCCCUUAUUUGGAGAGAAUAAUCUAUUGUCUUGUAAAUUAAACUGUUGAAUUAGUUAGGAUGAAUCUCUGGAUAUAAACAAUUCAGACUGUUUAAAUAAACUUCAUUUGUUUAACUGCAACUCAUGUGGGUGGCUGGGAAAUGGAAUCUAAAGCAUUAACAUCUGCUAAAUUUGUGUAAAACGUAGCAAACAAGAAUCACAUUAAACCCAAGUAAAUUGGUGUUCUAAAAUUCUUGGAAUUGCCAUUACCUAGUAGGAUGUUAUCAUUAGCAGGACUUUCAAGGGGAGCAGAGCAGUGCAGCAGAGAAGCAGAGAAAAGAAGUGUCUGAAUGUCGAAGAGGAAGCUGGACGGUGGGAAAGAAGUUUGGCCAGGGACAGCCGAACUCCGGGGGAAGAUUAUUUUCACACUCCAUCCCCUUCCAGCUCCGCAUCCCACUGAGAGCCGCCUCCAUCACACAAUAAAACCUCUGCAUUCACCAUCCUUGCAGUCCGUGUGACCUGAUUCUUCCUGGACACCAGACAAGGACCCGGGUACCAAGAGGGCAGGGUGUAAAAGGCUGUCACCCUGACUCUCCACUGAGCUGUUUCACAUUUAGCU